GAUGAAGAACGUAGUGAAAUGCGAUACUUGGUGUGAAUUGCAGAAUCCCGUGAACCAUCGAGUCUUUGAACGCAAGUUGCGCACGAAGCCAUUAGGCCGAGGGCACGCCUGCCUGGGCGUCACACGUCGUUGCCCCCCCAUCUAAUCCUUCGGGAUUGCGGGGGGCGGAUGAUGGCCUCCCGUGCGCCUCGUCGCGCGGUUGGCAUAAAUGCCAAGUCCUCGGCGACGCACGCCACGACAAUCGGUGGUUGCGAAACCUCGGUUGCCCGUCGUGUGCGGUCGUCGCGCAUCGAGGGCUCGAAAAAAUUGCCGGGCUCCGGCUCGACUUUCAACGCGACCCCAGGUCAGGCGGGGUUACCCGCUGAAUUUAAGCAUAUCAAUAAGCGGAGGA
rnacentral:misc_RNA from 1 species